GCAAGACUUCGAGAUAAGUAGGAAGAGUAGCUGUUGUGGGAUUAGAGGAUUGAGUGUAGUUUCAGAGAAGCUGGAUAGGUCUGUUUUUUUCUUGGCCUAAUACCUCUUCCAGUCUAUGGCUCAUGCCUUAGUAAGGGGAGGGAGACUGCCAAGGGAUAAGAAAUUCAGGAUGCUGAGAAAUUGAGAGAAGGGAAUGAGAGUCAGUGAAGAGGUGAAAGGCACAGAAGUAAGAUCUCAAGAAAAUUUGGUCUUUUAUAAAUUUUUAAUUAAGGAGACUUUUGAAAAUCAUUAUAUAAACUUAAAAAAUAAAUAAAAUAACUUCUGUUUUUGGAAAGUUAAAAAAAAGGAGGAUUUUGGCAAAAUCACCACCUGCUUAUAAAUUUUAUCAAAGGCAUUUACAAUCACUUCUUAAGGUGAAUCCCCUAAAGUGAGAUUGAAUGUGUCAGAACAUAGUGAUUUUUUUCCUCAGGUUCUGUUCCAUUCUAAGUUACUGCAGUUCCCUCUACUAUACAUUUUUUUAUUUAUUCAAAUAUAGUAGUGUGUAUCUGUUGUUUAUUUAUUCAAGUAUAGUAGUAUAUAUUUGUUAAUUCCAAAUUCCAACUGUUUCCUCCUCUACUCUUGCUCCUUUGGUAACCAUAAGUUUGUUUUCUAUGUCUGUGAGUCUACUUCUGUUGUGUAGAUAAGUUCAUUUGUAUUACUUUUUUAGAUUCCACAUGUGCGAUGAUAUUUUCUUUCUCUUCUGAUUGACUUCAUUCUGUAUGAUAAUCACUAGGUCCAUCCUUGUUACUGCAAAUGGCAUUGUUUUAUUCUUUUUUAUGGCACACACACACACACUACAUAUUUUGUAUUCAUUUAUCUGUCAGUGGACAUUUAGGUUGCUUCCUAUCUUGGCUAUUAUAAAUAGUUUUAUCUGGGUAUACAGCCAGGAAUGGGAUUGCUGGAUCAUAUGGUAAACAUAUUUUUAGGUUUUAAAGGAACUUCCAUACUGUUCUCCAUAGUGGCUGCACCAAUUUACAUUCCUAUCAACAAUGUAGGAAGGUUCUUUUUUCUCCGCAUCCUCUCUAGCAUUAUUAUUUGUAGACUUUUUGAUGAUGGUCAUUUCUAACUGUUGUAAGGUGAUAGUGUAUUAUAGUUUUGAUUUGCAUUUCUCUAAUACUUAGUGAUGCUGAGCAUGUUUUCAUGUGCCUUUUGGCCAUCUGUAUAUCUUCUUUGGAGAAAUGUGUAUUCAGAUCUUCCACCAAUUUUUUGAUUGGGUUUUUUUUUUUAUACUGAGCAGUAUGAGUUGUUUAUAUAUUUUGUAUAGUAAUCUCUUGUUAGUCGCUUCAUUUUCAAAUAUUUUCUUCCAGUCUGCAGGUUGUCUUUUCAUUCUAUUUAUGAUUUCCUUUGCUGUGAGAAAGUUUUUACCUUUAAUUAUGUUCCAUUUAUUUAUUUUUCUUUUUGUUUCCACUACUCUAAGAGAUGGAUUCCCACCCCCAAAUUAUUGCUACAAUUUAUGUCAAAGAGUGUCCUGCCUGUUUUCCUCUAGGAGUUUUAUGAUUUCUGGUCUUCCAUUUAGGUCUUUAAUCCAUUUUGAGUUUAUUUUUGUAUAUGAUGUUAGAGUAUGUUCCAUUUCAUUCUUUUACAUGUAGCUGUCCAUUUUUCCCAGGACCAGUUAUUGAAGAAAUUGUCUUUUCUCCAUUGUAUAUUCUUGCCUCGUUUGUUGUAGCUUAAUUGACUGUAAGUGUUUGGAUUUGUUUCUGGAUUUUUUAUCCUGUUCCAUUGAUCUACGUGUCAGGUUUUUUUGGUUUUGUUUUUUUGUUUUGGCCAUGACAUGUAGAAGUUCCUGUGCCAAGGAUCUAACCCAUGCCAAAGCAGUGGCCCCAGCUUCUGCAGUGAUAAUGCUGAAUCCUUAACCCAGUAUGCCACAAGGGAACUCCUCCUUGUGUAUGUUUUUUUGUGCCAGUACCAUACUGUUUUGAUUAUUGCAGCUGUGUAGUAUAGUCUGAAAACAAGAAGUGUGAUUCCUCCAGUUCCAUUCUUUCUCAAGAUUGUUUUGGCUAUUUGGUUUUUUUUGGUGUGUGUUUACAUACAAACUUUAAAAUUUCUUGUUCCAGUAUGCAGAAAAUAACAUUGGUAAUUUGAUAGGGAUUGCAUUGAAUCUGUAGAUUGUCUUAGCACCAAAAA
rnacentral:lncRNA from 1 species